rnacentral:rRNA from 1 species
CCUACGGGAGGCAGCAGUGGGGAAUAUUGCGCAAUGGGCGAAAGCCUGACGCAGCGACGCCGCGUGCGGGAUGAAGGUCUUCGGAUCGUAAACCUCUGUCAGCAGGGAAGUACGGUCCCUGUGCUAAUCAGCAGUGAAUUGACGGUACCUGCAAAGGAAGCACCGGCUAACUCCGUGCCAGCAGCCGCGGUAAUACGGAGGGUGCGAGAGUUAAUCGGAAUUACUGGGCGUAAAGCGCUCGUAUGCGGUAUGUCAAGUCAAGGGUGAAAUCCCGGCGCUCAACGUGGGAACUGCCUGUGAAACUGGGAAACUGGAGGAUGUGAGAGGAUAGUGGAAUUCCAGGUGUAGGAGUGAAAGCCGUAGAUAUCUGGAGGAACAUCAGUGGCGAAGGCGACUAUCUGGCACAUAACUGACGCUGAGGAGCGAAAGCGUGGGUAGCAAACAGGAUUAGAGACCCCAGUAGUC